rnacentral:rRNA from 1 species
AUUGAACGCUGGCGGAAUGCUUUACACAUGCAAGUCGAACGACGAACCUUAGAUUGCUAAGGGGUUUAGUGGCGAACGGGCGAGUAAUUUAUCGGAACGUGCCUUGUAACGGGGGCUAACUAGACGAAAGAUUAGCUAAUACCGCAUACGCCCAGAGGGGGAAAGGAGGGGAUCUUCGGACCUUACGUUAUUAGAGCGGCCGAUUAUGGAUUAGCUAGUUGGUGGGGUAAUGGCCUACCAAGGCGACGAUCAGUAGCUGGUCUGAGAGGACGACCAGCCACACUGGAACUGAGACACGGUCCAGACUCCUACGGGAGGCAGCAGUGGGGAAUUUUGGACAAUGGGCGCAAGCCUGAUCCAGCCAUACCGCGUGAGUGAAGAAGGCCUUCGGGUUGUAAAGCUCUUUCGCAAGGGAAGAAAACUUGCCGUCGAAUAAAUGGUGAGGCUGACGGUACCUUGAGAAGAAGCACCGGCUAACUACGUG